GGGGUGCUCGAGUGGCGAACGGGUGAGUAACACGUGAGUAACCUGCCCUUGACUUUGGGAUAACUUCAGGAAACUGGGGCUAAUACCGGAUAGUAGCUCCUGCUGCAUGGUGGGGGUUGGAAAGUUUCGGCGGUUGGGGAUGGACUCGCGGCUUAUCAGCUUGUUGGUGGGGUAGUGGCUUACCAAGGCUUUGACGGGUAGCCGGCCUGAGAGGGUGACCGGCCACAUUGGGACUGAGAUACGGCCCAG
rnacentral:rRNA from 1 species